rnacentral:rRNA from 1 species
UACGUAGGGUGCGAGCGUUAAUCGGAAUUACUGGGCGUAAAGCGUGCGCAGGCGGUUCGCCAAGUCAGGUGUGAAAUCCCCGGGCUUAACCUGGGAAUUGCGCUUGAAACUAGCGGGCUUGAGUGUGGCAGAGGGGGGUGGAAUUCCACGUGUAGCAGUGAAAUGCGUAGAGAUGUGGAGGAACACCGAUGGCGAAGGCGACUUCCUGGCCCGUUCUUGACGCUGAGGCGCGAAAGCUAGGGGAGCAAACGGG